CCCGACUGCUAUUUGGGUGAGGAUAAGCCAUGCGAGUCGAAUGGGAUACCUAAAUUUCCCAUGGCGAACUGCUCAAUAACACAUGAUCAACUUACCCUAUAGAGAAAAAUAACCUCGGGAAAACUGAGGAUAAUGUUUCAUAGUUGAAAAGGCUUGGAAAAGUUUUUCAAUCAAAGGGAUAAAAAAAAUGGUUUUUAUCCGCUAUAGGAUAGGAUCGUGGUCGAUUAUGGUUGUUGGUGAGGUAAUGGCUCACCAAGCCGAUAAUCGAUAGGGGCCGUGAGAGCGGGAGCCCCGAGAUGGGUACUGAGACAACGACCCAGGCCUUACGAGGCGCAGCAGGCGCGAAACCUCCGCAAUACACGAAAGUGUGACGGGGUUACCCAAAGUGUUCAGUUUUGAACUGUGGUAGGUGAGUAAUGUCCCCUACUAGAAAGGAGAGGGCAAGGCUGGUGCCAGCCGCCGCGGUAAAACCAGCUCUUCAAGUGGUCGGGAUAAUAUUGGGCUUAAAGUGUCCGUAGCCGGUUUAGUAAGUCCCUGGUAAAAUCGGGUAGCUUAACUAUCUGUAUGCUAGGAAUACUGCUAAACUAGAGGGCGGGAGAGGUCUGAGGUACUACAGGGGUAGGGGUGAAAUCUUAUAAUCCUUGUAGGACCACCAGUGGCGAAGGCGUCAGACUGGAACGUGCCUGACGGUGAGGGACGAAAGCCAGGGGAGCGAACCGGAUUAGAUACCCGGGUAGUCCUGGCCGUAAACGAUGCAUACUAGGUGAUGGCAUGGCCAUGAGCCGUGUCAGUGCCGUAGGGAAACCGUUAAGUAUGCCGCCUGGGAAGUACGGUCGCAAGGCUAAAACUUAAAGGAAUUGGCGGGGGAGCACCACAAGGGGUGAAGCCUGCGGUUCA
rnacentral:rRNA from 1 species